rnacentral:rRNA from 1 species
CAGUCGCCGCGGGAAGACAGAGGAUGCAAGCGUUAUCCGGAAUGAUUGGGCGUAAAGCGUCUGUAGGUGGCUUUUCAAGUCCACCGUCAAAUCCCAGGGCUCAACCCCGGAAUUGCCUUUAAGACUGCAUCGCUUGAAUCGCGGAGAGGUGAGUGGAAUUCCGAGUGUAGAGGUGAAAUUCGUAGAUAUUCGGAAGAACACCAGUGGCGAAGGCGGCUCACUGGACGCGUAUUGACGCUGAGGUACGAAGGCGUGGGGAGCAAACAGGAUUAGAUACCCCAGUAGUCCCUGUCUCUUAUAC